rnacentral:rRNA from 1 species
CCCCAAUAGCGGAGGAAAAGAAACCAACCGGGAUUGCCUUAGUAACGGCGAGUGAAGCGGCAAAAGCUCAAAUUUGAAAUCUGGUACCUUCGGUGCCCGAGUUGUAAUUUGGAGAGGGCAACUUUGGGGCCGUUCCUUGUCUAUGUUCCUUGGAACAGGACGUCAUAGAGGGUGAGAAUCCCGUGUGGCGAGGAGUGCGGUUCUUUGUAAAGUGCCUUCGAAGAGUCGAGUUGUUUGGGAAUGCAGCUCUAAGUGGGUGGUAAAUUCCAUCUAAAGCUAAAUAUUGGCGAGAGACCGAUAGCGAACAAGUACAGUGAUGGAAAGAUGAAAAGAACUUUGAAAAGAGAGUGAAAAAGUACGUGAAAUUGUUGAAAGGGAAGGGCAUUUGAUCAGACAUGGUGUUUUGUGCCCUCUGCUCCUUGUGGGUAGGGGAAUCUCGCAUUUCACUGGGCCAGCAUCAGUUUUGGUGGCAGGAUAAAUCCAUAGGAAUGUAGCUUGCCUCGGUAAGUAUUAUAGCCUGUGGGAAUACUGCCAGCUGGGACUGAGGACUGCGACGUAAGUCAAGGAUGCUGGCAUAAUGGUUAUAUGCCGCCCGUCUGA